rnacentral:rRNA from 1 species
GACGAACGCUGGCGGCGUGCUUAACACAUGCAAGUCGAACGGAAAGGCCUGCUUUCCCUUGUGGAUUGCGGGUACUCGAGUGGCGAACGGGUGAGUAACACGUGAGUGAUCUGCCCCCAACUUGGGUAUAAGCCUGGGAAACUGGGUCUAAUUCCCGAUAGGACUGCAGGGUGGUGCCUGUGGUGGAAAACGAUUUGCUAGUGGUUGGGGAUGAGCUCGCGGCCUAUCAGCUUGUUGGUGGGGUAAUGGCCGACCAAGGCGGCGACGGGUAGCCGGCCUGGGAGGGUGGACGGCGACAGUGGGACUGGGUUACGGCCCAGACUCCUAGGGGAGGCAGCAGUGGGGAAGAUUGCACAAUGGGCGGAAGCCUGAUGCAGCGACGCCGCGUGGGGGAUGACGGCCUUCGGGUUGUAAACUCCUUUCGACCGCGAGGAAGCCACCUGGUUGGAAGGGUGGUGACGGUAGUGGUAGAAGAAGCACCGGCUAACUACGUG